rnacentral:rRNA from 1 species
GAUGAACGCUAGCGGCAGGCCUAACACAUGCAAGUCGAGGGAGAAGCCCUUCGGGGCAGAAACCGGCGCACGGGUGCGUAACGCGUAUGCAACCUACCUUUCACAGGGGGAUAGCCCGAAGAAAUUUGGAUUAAUACCCCAUAAUAUUAUUGGAUGGCAUCAUUUGAUAAUUAAAAUUACGAUGGUGAAAGAUGGGCAUGCGUCCUAUUAGCUAGUUGGAGUGGUAACGGCACCCCAAGGCUACGAUAGGUAGGGGUCCUGAGAGGGAGAUCCCCCACACUGGUACUGAGACAGGGACCAGACUCCUACGGGAGGCAGCAGUGAGGAAUAUUGGUCAAUGGUCGGAAGACUGAACCAGCCAUGCCGCGUGCAGGAAGAAUGCCUUAUGGGUUGUAAACUGCUUUUAUAUGGGAAGAAUAAGG